UUCAGGCUUGGACUUGAUCGUCUCCUGAGGCCAAAUUGAAAAAUUUGGAAAAAUACUUCUUCUGUGCAAACUACACAAUUUAUUACACAACCAGAGAAAACAAGUACAUUAACAAUGUGGAAAUAUCAUAGGAUGCUGUUCUGAUACCUAUAGGUCUCUGGAUAACAACCUUAAUUCCUAUUUAGGCACCAAACAACAAUGUGAGUGUUUUCAAUAGUACUAAAUAUCCACAAGGCCUAAGCCGGAGCAGAGCAACUACUCUGUGGGGGUUGCAGAGAAACAGCAUAAAUACACCCUUGGCACUGGAUGAGAGGCAAGGGAAUCUGAACAGAAGAGGGUUUUGACUGUUGGACAAUGAAAAUAGCCUGAACUCAAGUUUCUGCUACCCAAAGAACAUACAUGUAUUGCUAAUUAAAAAUCACAAAUAUCUCCUCCACACAGAAACACAAACAUUUGCAAUUAAGACUUGUGUUCUGACUAGAACAAGUGUGGAUUGAGCUUACUAUGUUAUAUGUGGUGAAAACCUCACUCACAAAAUUGUCAUGAGCUAACAAGUGUAGCAAGUCUGAGAUUUUGUUUAAACAUCUUACCUAGUUUGGGUGUUGAAAAUUGUAGAUUACUUUAAAACACACUGAGCUGAAUAGAGGCUACAAACCAAGGUUUAGUAGAGUUAAAUUAGACUCUUGCUAGGCACUACAAAUACUGUCCAGAAAAUGACCUCUAAAUAAAUGCAGUGUUUUAUCUGUGUCAGUGUUCAUACAUUUCUCGCAUUUUUAAUUCACUGUCACAGCCAAUUAUCUGUCUUUUCUCCCAGCAUUUUCCAAGUGCAAACUUGAACCUAACAACCUAAUGUAGUAGCCAUUUGUAAUGAUGAAUUGUAUCCUUCUUGUUUUUCUUGAGGAGAUGGGAAAGUGAUGAUUAUCUAAUAUCUCCAUAUUUUAACUGUUAUAUAAAAUAAGAAGCUCUUAAGUGGUUUACCUGUUAUAUUUUUAAAAUAACUGGAUUAUUUAUUCAAAUUUUAUAGUAAAAAUCCACUUCAUCUUUGUAUUACUAGAAAACAGGAAUUGGUUCCUCCAGCUUUAAGUCACAAUACAGACGACCUUCCUAAGAUUCCUUUUACUUUGGUUCCAAGAAUGUAAGCAGUAUCACUUGUGGCUAUACAAAACCGUAAUGAAAAAGCCCAAAUGUAUUUGUUAAAUGUCAUUUUAUAGCUCAAUUUGAAUUGCAGUGGUGAAAUAAGAGAAAACAAAAUUAACAUUAAUAUUUGUACACUGAAAUUACUGUGUUGAAAAUCUGCAGUUCAGAGGGUAGUUAGAUUUUUUUUUUUAACAUUUAUCUUAUGUGAAAAGUGCUUUUAUAUAAUUUUAACACAUAAGAAGUAAUAAUGUAAUGAAAACUAAAAUGUGAGGUUUGGAUAAGAAAAGAUUGUUUUGUUUUGUUUUGUUUUUCCCCCAGGUUAUGUUGGUUUUAUCACAGAAAUUGUACCACUUCUCUUCCCAUUCAAAAACAUGUCCUUCAGUUACCUGUAACCAAAGAAGAAUUUGCCUAGAUGUAACAGACUUCAUACUUUAUUUUGCAACAGUUCCAUUUUAGAAUCAGAUGAACUGAUUUCAUGUCUCCUGGUUACCACUGACUAUACUCAGAGAAUGCUAUAUCUCACAGGAAGCCAUAAGUACCAAUACCUCACAAGAGGUACAUUAGUUCUACGAUUUUCAUAGAGAGAUAUAUGCAGUACCUUUGGCUUUAGUUUUAGUCGAAUGUAAAUGGUGCUAUUUUUACUGCAUUUCUGAACAAAUUGAAACUGAUAUACUGUAAAUUGUUCAAGGCAACUUUUACACCCAGGAUUAUUAAAAACUUUGAAC
rnacentral:lncRNA from 7 species